rnacentral:rRNA from 1 species
UACGGGGGGUGCAAGCGUUGUUCGGAAUUAUUGGGCGUAAAGCGCGUGUAGGCGGCUUAGCAAGUCGGGCGUGAAAGCCCUCGGCUCAACCGAGGAAGUGCACCCGAAACUGCUGAGCUUGAGUGCCGGAGAGGAUGGCGGAAUACCCCAAGUAGAGGUGAAAUUCGUAGAUAUGGGGUGGAACACCGGUGGCGAAGGCGGCCAUCUCGACGGUAACUGACGCUGAGACGCGAAAGCGUGGGGAGCAAACAGG